AGCACUGUAACUCAGCGGUACAGCAUCUGCUUUGCAUGCAGACGGCCCUGGGUUCAAAUCCCGACGUCUCCAGGCAGAGCUG